GCCAUUUCUCUCCCAAACCCUUCUUCCCUCGCCCCAUCCCCAAAUCGCGCACCCAUAUCCCCAAAUCCCGAAAGUCUCUCUCUUCCUCUUUCCAACGUCUCUCGAUCUCCCUUCUCCACUCCGGCCUCUCUUGAUAUGGCUUCCAUUUCCAUUGCUUGUUGAAGACGCGGAUCUCUCGGUCGUUGCCCUCCUUCUUGCUGGAACACGCUAAACUCCGAGAAGGCCCGCAAGAGAAGAAGCACCAGCAACAGCCGCAGCAGCAGCUCCCCUUCUCCAAUAGCCGCAGCAGGUGCCUUUGUUUGGAGUCGCAAAGCAUUGGUUUCAGAGGGAGUACGGAAGAUUUCUAGAAGCCGUAGCCCGAGAAGGCCUGCAAGAGGAAGAAGCACCAGCAACAGCCGCAGCAGUAGCUUCCCAUCUCCAAGAGCCAAUUAGCACCUUGGUUCUUAGCAGGUAGGUAUGCCUCUCUCUCUCUCUCUCUCUCUCUCUCUCUCUCUCUCUCUCUCUCUCUCUCCAGGUUUCAUCAUGUCUAUUGGGUGCAAUCUGGGAAGCGAAAGGCUGGAACAUGCAGAAAGUAACUUCAGAAGCUAGAAGUUGGUGCUGAUAUCAAAGACACCGUAGGUUGGUGGGUUUUGGUGUCCAGAGAGUUGUGUUGGGUCUUCAGUACUCAAGUAUGGGCUGGCUAGUUUGGGCAUUUUACUUUAGAACAUGUAUGGUGCUAUUGACAUAGGUGGGUUAUGGAUAAAUUCCUACUUGGAUUUUUUUUAGUACCCCCGAAAGCAUUGAGGCAGUUGAAUUUGGUCAUGAUAUAAACAUGCACUAGAAACGUAUGGUUAUAAAUGCAUGGAUUGUUGAUAUAUUUACCUGUUGGUUA